AUCUUUGACAUGGCAUUGAGCGUCCCCACAUAACAACUGACCAAACAGAGGCUCAGAGGGGUUGGUUACUUGCCAACAAGUUGGCUGCUUGUUGGUUAGGUUGCCCAGUCAAGGUGGGGGUGUCAUCUCAUGAGAGGAGGCCCUGAGGUUGGCCCAGGAAGGCAACUAACUCAAUCCUGAAUCAAGGACGGCUUCCUGGAGGAGGUGACGCUGACCUGAGCGUGAAAGGGAGAGGAAGGGCUGGCUUGGUCCCAAAAGGCUGGAGCUUCGCAAAGCAGGGAAACAGCAUGGACCUCAGGCUGCUGGGGGUGGAAGGGUGCACAUGGGGGAACCAAAUAACCAGCAAGACCCAAUCCCUCCUUCUCAGAAGACAGGCACCCCCUCCAAGGGACUGGGAGGCCCAGGGGUCCCAGGCCCCCUGCACAUCUGAUACUAGCAGUAAUGACUCAUCAUCCCGGGCACCUGUGGGGCUAAAGGUUUCCCAUGUAACUCUCCCCAGCAUACUCACAAGCUUUAUGAGCUGAGCACUAUUCUCCUCCCUCUUUCCCUGGAAAGAGGCCCGGAGAGGUAAAGUCACUGCCUCCAGGCCCCGCAGCAGGCUAGUGGCCAAGCCCAGGUUGUCCAGCUCUGCAGCCCCGCCCCCGUGGAAUCAUGAGUCUCCCUGUCCUCCCAGGCGACAGUACGCCGGGACAGACAGACACACACCAACUUUCUAAUGGCGUGGACGAGUCUCCGCUGGAGGAGACGGUGGCUCAGCUGACGGCAGCCAGCCCCACCUCCCGGAGGUUGGUAUCACCUCCAGGCACUGACCGCGCCGUGUCCGCCGUCCGCAGUCGUAACUUUUCCUUCGUAAGUCUUGGCCCUGAACCUGUAGGUGCGUCAGAGGAAAGCAGAGACUGACAACGCUGUCUUGGCAGGGCGGGCAGCCCUGGGGCCAGGCGGGGACCUGGCUCUCGAGGCCGUCACACGCACCCCUCCACGCUCCCUGCCUGGUGAGGGCCUGGGGGCUGGCAGGCGGGGCUCUCAGCCUGCGGGUGGGCCCUGCCCAGACCUGUCUCCACCAGCCUGCUGGAAUGUAGAGCCUGGGUCGGCCAGGAGGCCAAGGUGUGGUGGGCGAGUCCUGCUCAGGGUGGGGAGGGGGUGUCCAGUGGGGGGCGCUGGACGGGGUUGGUAAUGGAAUAGGUGGCAGCUGUGUUUGAACCCCUGGUGCUCAGCUUCCUACCUGGGAAAUUCUGGGCCUCUCAGAGCCUCAGUUUCCCCAUCUGUGAAAUGGGAAUUCGGACGCCAACCGCACGGUGUUGGGUUAUACUGAAAUGAGAGAGUUUGAAAAACAACCAGCAUGCAUCAGUUAGAUCUCAAGAAAGGUGGAACUUAAUUAAUUUGAAAAUUAUAAUAAAUAAAGAGAAAAGCAACUAGCUAGCGCCAGGCAUGUGGUGGGUGCCCUGCAUACUGGCUUCCACCCCUGCGUGAACCUAGAUGGCUUUCCAACCUCACUCAGGAUUCCGUCCUGACUGGUGGGAAUCACAGCUGAUAGGGUUUGAACCGUGGUGUUGGAGAAGACUCAAGAGAGUCCCUUGGACUGCAAGGAGAUCCAACCAGUCCAUCCUAAAGGAGAUCAGUCCUGAAUAUUCCUGGAAGGACUGAUGCUGAAGCUGAAGAAGCCCCAAUACUUUGGCCACCCGAUGCGAAGAGCCGACUCAUUGGAAAAACCCUGAUGCUGGGAAAGAUUGAAGGCGGGAGGAGAAGGGGACGACAGAGGAUGAGAUGGUUGGAUGGCAUCACUGACUCGAUGGACAUGAGUUUGGGCAAGCUCUGGGAGUUGGUGACGGACAGGCAGGCCUGGUGUGCUGCAGUCCGUGGGGUUGCAGAGAGUCGGACACGACUGAGCGACUGAACGACAAUGACGACUUACUAUCUAUCCCCCUCCAGCUUCCCGUCUGUGCUCAGACUCUGCACUCCUAAAGUCCCUCUGGCCCCUGGGCCCUCAGACCUCACCUGCUGUUUCUGGAACCGUCCAGACAGUGAGCCCUCAAGGGCAGGGCCCACAUGCAUCACGGGCAUCGGCGCGUCCACGGUGCUUCCUGGGCCCCGGUACACAGGAGGUGCUCAGGAAAUGCUCAACGAAAGGUCACAUGGCAUCACCUUCGAUGGCCAAGACGCAGCAGGUCUCAGCGCUGGGGGCCUGGAGACUCACUUGGUGUGGCUCGAGGGUGACGGGGCCCAACGGCUGUGACGGCCGGAACAGCGCGUCAGCGGCCACACCGUGCGGCCUGGGAGUCCUCACGUUCUGGGCAUCUGAUUUAUCUGGGCCCAGCUGGCAAAAGGAAAGAGGAACGAGAACCCAGGCCCUGCAGGGAGAUCUUCAAGGUCACUAACACCUAGAGCUUUGAACUGGGGAUAUCUCCAGCACAGACAGAAAGCUUCCCCCAGCUUCUCAGGUGCUUUGCUGACAAGACUCCCACGGCGGUCAGAGCCGCACUGCCUACCGAAGCCCCAGCUCUACUACACCUUCCGUUGCACGGGCUCAUCUUGUGACAUGGCCCUGACACUCCUCUGUUUGAAGGGUAAAGUCCACGUGUUCUCUUCCCUUAAGUCUGUGGCAAAGACAGAACAACGCCGACCAGCUUCCAGGGCAGGUCGUAACGGCAAGGCGCCGUCCCCCUGGUUCUUCCGGGACACUUAUUCUUGGAACCCAGCCGCCAAACUCUCAGGAAGCCCAGGUAAUCUGUGGAGACCCACGUGGGGAAACUCAAAGGUUCCUGCCAGCUGAGCCGAAGGAUGACCUGGAGUUGACCAGCAGGGAGGAGGGGGAAAGGGUAUCCAGCAGAAAAGCGGAACAGCAUGUGCAAAGGCUCAGAGGCAGGAGAGAGCUUAGAGCACCUGGGCAGGGCCAAGAGGUGCCGGGUGGGGGCGGGGGCACACAGCGGAGGCCAGAGGUGAGGGACAGCCUGUGGGCAGGCCCGAGAGGACGCUGGAGGCUGGCUGAGCUGGGGGCCUGGGCAGCUAGAGCGGAGGGUAACAGAUGAUGGCUGUGCUUUGGAACUUCAGCUAGGUGGGCGGUGCACUCAAGGGGCUGAGCCUGCAGGGGGGUGGGAGGAAUGAGGUCCCCUGGGCCCCUGGACUAGGGUGUUGGCAGUGGGGAUGGAGGGAGAGCUUUGUGGGGGGUUGGUACCCAGUGGGUCUCUCGGCCAGGCUCACUGUGUUACUGGAGCUGGUAUGCUGGCUGGGGGGAGGGGACAGGAGUGCAUCGUGGGUAGCCAGCCUCUGACCUAUAGGAUGACCGCCUGGGGUCAGUCUCUGACAGCAGGACCACGACGGGGUCAGAGCUGGAGGCCACGUGGGGUGUGAAUCCCAGGGGCCUGCAGUCCAGACUCCGCAUCACCAUCAAGCUGACAACAACAACGACAGUCCUUACCAAGGGCCUCCUGCACGCCAGACACUGGCGAAGAGUGUGGCAUCCUCUCUUGUGGUCUUCUAUGAAUAUGAGGAAGGUGCCCAUUUUACAGAUGGGGAAACUGAGACUCGCAGGUAAGGUAAGCCACCAUCCCAAGGCCUCUCAGUUGGGAAACAGCAGAAGCAGGACGGGACGUUGGCGUCUUCCUGGAGGCUGUGGAAUCUGCCCGCCUCGGGGAUGAGCCACCAGGUCCGGCAUUUGCGGAUUUUGGAGGAGCCUUGGGUGGGAGGCUGCGGGGUCAGAGAUAUCUCACUGGAAUGUCAGAAGGAAUGGGCCUGAGUCAAAGUCUGCUCAAGCCAAAUUCCCCAGAUUUGGUCUGAAGAAAUCCUCCCACUGCUCACACAGGAAUAAAAGGUCGGGGAGUCAGGCCUGUGCUCAGCUGUGACGGGCAAGGGGCCGAAGCCAGGUCUGGGGGUUUCGGGCCGGCCUCCGUCCCAGGACCUGCUCCUGGAAGAAGCUCUACCCCAGCCCCUGCUGCCUCCGUGCUGACUCCGGAGGGAGGGGCAGCUUUCCGGAAGUCCUCAGCCUGGGGUCUGGGCUUGAAUGAUGACCUUGUCCCUGGGGGGCUUUGGGGCUGUGGGUUACCGUCUCGUGGGCUCUGUCUCUCCCUGGGCACGUGCGACCAUCUUCCAGACCUGUCCUGCCAACCCGGCUGCCUGGCUGAUCUACCGGGGAGCCUUAUAAAAACUAACGCCCAGGGACAUCCCUGCCGGCCGGGUGGCUAAGACUCUGUAAUCCCACGGCAGGGGUACCUGUGUUCCACCCCUGGUCAGGGAACUAGACUCCACAUGCCGCAACUAAGACCGAAGUUCCCGUGUGUUACCACCAACACUCUGCACAGCCAAAGAAAAAAAAAAUAAAAACCCAGAAAACCCAACAGCAGCAACGGACACCCAGGCCACAAGCCAGAAGCAGCACCGCCGAAGUUCCUCAUCUGAUCCCGACACGCGGCCGGUGCCGAGAACAGCCGUGUUGAGCAUUGCCUUUGGGAUCACAUAUGUGUGGGCUCAACUCCUGACUCUGCUUGUGUGCUAGGUGACCCUGGGCGCAUGUGGUAACCUCUCUGAGCCUCAGUCUCCUCCUUCUAUCAGGAGGGACACUCUUGUCAUGGGCCUGAAGGGAUUAAAGCAUUUAAUUUGGGUCCAUCGCUUGGAACUUAGAGCUCAAAAGGGAAAAAAAAAAAGGCACCCAAAUUCAUCCUGCUCACAGCAACAUUGACCUUGCCGAGUGGAAGGGGACACUCUGAUUCGGGGUUUCAAAGGAGCAUGUCCAAAAGGGACUUCUGGAACCGAGCUCGGAGGCUGGCACCGUUACGCUGAAGUCCCGUCACAACCAGACAUGCUUGAUGUUUUCCUCCUUGAGGACCCUGAAGCGCAUGCCAGUGUCGCUGACAUGGGCGGUGAAUUCCAGGGCUACGUGGGCUUUCUGUCUGGAAUCAGCGGAUCCUGCAGUGCUUGACCCAGGGAUGUUUCGUCAGAGCAGGGCUGCGGCUUCGACAGCUAGUCAGAGCCCCCUCUGCCCUGCCGCGUCCCUGCAGCACCCCUCUUGGGCCACAGGAUGGAGCAGGGGCUGGGAGAGCAGCCCCCGCCCUGGCCGGGGACACACACACACUGCGUGCCUCGGCGUGUCACCCAUGCCUUGACGGAGCAGCCCGGGUCUGGCGCUCUCUGCUAGCCACAUUCUGUUCUGAACGUGUUACAUGCCUUGCCUCAUUUGCGCCUCAAAACCACCUUAUGAGGUGAGCGGCGUUAGGCUCCGUUUUGCAGAUGGGGAAACCGAGGCGCAGAGCAGCCAAGCAAGCUCCGUGUCCAAACCCCCCCCCACGGUAAGUGGCAGAGGCAAGGCCUGAGUCCAGGCCGGCCAGCCCCAUGAAGCUCAUGUUCGAGGGCUCCCCUGAGCUGUCUGCCAUCAGGGGGCUCCACACAGGAGGAGGCUGAGAUCUGGGGGUUUGCAGCCCCAGGGCCACGGGCCAGCCACACCCUGAACUGGGCCUGGCUAACGUCAAGGCCUGGCUUUGAUCUGGUGUCUGUUUUACAUACAGUGUGCGUCUUUGUCUGCCCCAGUCUCCCGUUUAUCCCUUGCCCCUAGCCCCUCACUUUCCCCCCAGUCAUCCUAAGUUUGCUUUCUAUACCUGUAGUUCCAUUUCUAUUUUGUAAAUAAGUUCAUUUGUACCAUAUUUUUAGAUUCUACAUAAAGAUCAACCGUACAGCAUAAGGAACUCUUCUCAAUAUUCUGUAAAGACCUACACAGGAAAAAAUUAAAAAAAAAGAACCUAUGUAUAUCCACUUUGUUGUACAGUAUAAACUAACACCACAUUGUAAAGCAACUAUACUACAAAAAAAACCUUCCUUUAUCCUUUCAUUCACUUCCUUGUUUGUUCAUUCACUCUCUCUCUCUCAUCAACAGUUUUGGAGCACCUACGGUAUACCUGGCCUUGGUCUGGGUGCCAGGGAGACAGAGACGAGACAGGCCCUCUGUCCCCGAGGCCGUCCCAGGCAGUGGGGCAGACUAACAAGCAAUCUCCCUGGAGUUUGGAGAAGACAGAGGCUGAGAGCGCAUCCCUGAGGAGGUGGGCAUCACCCAGCUUUCAGCUGGGUAUCAAGGAUGAAUAGGAAUUCACCAGUGAGGCGGAAGGUAGAUGGGUCCCAGGCUGGGCAGCCAAACUAGCAGGAGUGAGAAAGGAGCUGAGCGCUGCCCAGAUAAGAGAGAAAAUACCACAUGUUCCUCAUUCCCAAGGUCAAGGAGACCUUCCUAACUACGCAUGCACAGAACAGCUCCUUGGAGGUCAAAACAGCAGGGGCAUCACCUCAGAGUAAGUGACGUCAGCCUUCUCGCUAGAGUCCAUCUUGGCUCCGAGACAGGCAGAUGCACAUGGGAGGACGCUGAGAUGGACCAAACCCAGGCUCAGAACCGGGUGAAGCAAGGUGACUGCCCAAAGGAAACCCCGGAAGAAAGGCCCCAGAAAAGUGAUCCGAGCCACCAUGAGGGCGUGACUCUCCCUCUGAGCCUGCCCGUGCGUCUGUCCACACGCACACUUUUUCCUCCUAAUAAACGCUGGACUUGC